UGAUCAUGGACCAAUACUUCUUCUUCAUUCCGUCGCUGAACAUUUCUCCAGCGAGAGCUUUUGCAGUUUCUGUGCUCUAAUUUUCUGAAACAGGAGAUUUCCCUCUCAUGGAAAGCAUCCCAAAACCAGCUGCUCUACACAGGUACGCCCUACCCAUCCCUCCAUAAGUGUGGAUGUGGAAGAGGAUCCUUCAAUUGCCCCUUUUUCGGUGGGAGUCAUCUGUUUGUGACUAUCGACGGGCACUUCCAUUCACUCAACUUGAUGGCAAAAGCUUCGUAAACGAAGUGUGAGCUUGGAAUCCACCUUUUAAUCCAAGACCUUCACCACCUUACCAUCUGAACCCACGAUGGUGGAGAAACGUCCAUAAUUACUUAUGCUUCACUGUGCGAUAGAUCUAUGUUUGACUUUCCACAGCCCUAUUGAAUCAGGUAGCUGAACACGUUAAGUUUGUCGCUGUGCUUGGGAUCUCUACUUCCGUCUAUGGGUUCCAAAUGGCUUCUAGUGAUUAGUGUCAAGCGAACACAGUUUUGUGGUGCUGACAAUAAGGUUCAAUUGGAGUCUCUGCUGGCUUUCAAGCUAGCAUGUAGUCUCUUCCAGAAGAUUCAAGGAAAAUCUAAUCCAUGAUGAUAAUGAACUUAUUUUGUUGGCAUUCUUGGCGAUUCAUUAGAGUAUGUUGAAGACUCUAUUGCAAGGCUGUGAAGAACAAAUGAUCCACUUGGAUUGGCCUACAAGUGUGAGAAUUUGUCAAGGAAUAGCAAGGGGAUUGGCUUAUCUUCAUGAGGAAUCAAGAUAGAAAAUAGUAUAUAGGGAUAUUCAGGUAACUAACAUCUUGCUAGAUAAGGAUGUGAAUGCCAAGAUCUUUGACUUCAGUUUAGCAAAGCUCGAUUAUGAUGAUAAUACCCACAUUGGCACCUGAAUAGCUAGAACAAUGUAUUAUGCCAUAUUAAAUUCUAUAUUUGAUUGCUCAUUAACAGAAUUUAUCUUCACCAUGCACUUCCUCUG